AGACAAACUCUUUCUUGCGUUCUCCCUUUUUCAUGCCGUCUAGGCUGUCGCUCGGAGAAGCGGGACAACCUUCGCUUCCGGAACCCUGUGCACAAGCUUUCCAACUCCUCCUCGUACUGGCCUUCUGGUCGACCUGCUCCUGUUGAUGAAGAACGUUGUGAGCUUGCGUUUCCCAUCUCCGCGCACAACGCAUGCAGGAUCUUCUGACAUUUUUUUGCCUCUUUUUGGGCUGCUGCUCCACGGCUGCGUCAACCGUGGUUGUCCUUUUGGAGGCAGGUGGCACUUUCCCCACUGACCCGGAGCUGAAUUUUCUGCCGACGUCAUCUUCUCAGAAGGACCUGUUGAUGUUUUCCGCCUCCCGUCCACCUUUAGAGGUUGUUGAGGUCUUGGCGGCUUCUUGAGAGGCACCGGGGGUUGCUUUGGAGUGAAAGCAAGUUUAGAAACUGUCCGCAACAACUUGUUACGACUUCAAAGUGUUUCUUACAGCAUCUUUCUUCUUUCUCGUCAGAUGGCCUCCGUUCAGCCGCUGUCCACGCUUGGAGGCAGCGGCCACGCCCAUCAGGAGCCGGACCUCUGCCUCGGUGCCGGGUUCGGGCUUCAGCUUGUCCAGGAUGCAGGCGUUGAGGUGAGGCCCGUUCUCGUCGUACGCAAAGAUGAAGUUGGCCAAGCGCUCGUCGGGCGACAUGGCCAGCGCCUCGGUGGCCUGGAUGACGCCCAUCUUCCACUGGGGGCGCACUUUACGGGGCACUGAUUGAAGGGUCUGGAGGGCCAAACGGCCGUCAACCACAACCAAAAGGAAAAACAAAUGAGGUACCUCCACUUGAGAAUUUAAUUGUUUGAAUU